rnacentral:rRNA from 1 species
UACGUAGGGGGCUAGCGUUGUCCGGAUUUAUUGGGCGUAAAGAGCGUGUAGGCGGCCAUACAGGUCAGCUGUGAAAACUCGAGGCUCAACCUCGAGACGUCGGUUGAAACCGUAUGGCUAGAGUCCGGAAGAGGAGAGUGGAAUUCCCGGUGUAGCGGUGAAAUGCGCAGAUAUCGGGAAGAACACCCGUGGCGAAGGCGGCUCUCUGGGACGGUACUGACGCUGAGACGCGAAAGCGUGGGGAGCAAACAGG